CAAACUGACACAGAACAACCUACCAAAAACAGUAACAGACAAGAAACAAUACAUUCAAGAUGUCAGGGGGUUAUUGCAGAUAGGGAAGAAGUGGUAUUCUCUACAGGGAAAGUGCGGUAUACUCAAUAAAAAGUGCUUAAACAGUGCCAUUUAGGUACUGGACAGCUUGGGGGAAGAAACCCCAAUUGUCAAUGGAGAAAUUGUAUUGGAUUCUUACUUCCGGAAUCGGCUGUGGGCGGGACUGUCAAGGUCUGUGGGUCAGAGCUGUGCACCGUACAUCUUUCUCAUCCUGACUUUCCUGUCUGUCAGGUCACAAAUAUUUACAUAGGACAGACUAUAACAACUAAGUCGGUUUGCUGGUGGUUUUCUCUUGUGUUUUUCUAAGGUGUUUUGCUGGUUGACCAGCUUGUUUGACCACCCUUCAAUUAUGAUGGUAAUUUAGCUGGUUUUGCUUGUCUUACCACCUCAAGCUGGUCAUUUUAGCUGGAGAAAUGGCUGUAGCUUUUACAGUACAGAACAUCAAAAGUCCUACAGAAUUAUACAAUAUUACUGCACAGUACUGGAGCUGAUAUUGCAUCUUGGGUAAUAUUUGCAAGGCGGGAUUAUUGUACAGUAGUUUACGGUACAUUUCAUGUUUACUGUACAACGAGAUUCUAUUUGCUGUAACUCUGCUCUCACUCAGGUUCAGGACCAACAAACACGUUAAACACGUUACAUAAGAGUGAAGUUGAAGUUGGACAAUCAAGGCAGAGGCACAGGCUCUCUGCAAGGCACAAAGGCCAAUCACUGGUGACAUCUAGAAAAUGGAUGUUGUUUGCUGCAGCUUUUUCAACACUUCGCAACCUACUACAGUACGCGCUGAACAUGCAGUACCAAGAGGAUGCAGCAUGCACCUUAGAGGUUGUACAAAGAUUCAUGGUGAGAAUUAAUCCAGAGGAAGGAAAGAAGUGCUCGGCCAGACGGUGUGGGUAAGAAGACUAGUUCAGGAAACUAGUUCAGAAGAAAGCUGUCCCUAUCAGCCCCCAUGUAAACAUCUUUAUCCGGUCCCUUUUAGACUUUGAGUGGCAGACCUCCAACUAAAGUAUGGUAAACAGACCUUGUUGAAUUGCUGGAUGCAUCUCUCUUGUUAAAGAAACACAGUAAGUUACAGUACAGUGGUCCUACAGUAGGCUACAGUGUGAGAGUCAACAAGACAAGAGGAAGCGUAUGACAUGACGGAAAUUAGGGACACACACGCAUGCCAGCAUCGUUCAACAAGCACAUUGAUCAAAUGUUAGCCUACCUGAGGGGGAUGAUGACACGCAGGAAACGAUCAACAGUCAGUGCCAGCUGGAAGAAGACAGACACCCGA